ACUGAAUGAAUACGGCGCUAGGGGUAAAUCAUUUUAUAGAAUGAAUCAUGAUAUUAUUGUAACCCUGCCUUGCACUGGUGCUUUUGUGGUGCGUACGAAUGCACUAUUGGACAGGACAGAGGGACGAUGGGACAGAAGGAAUAACAGUGUUUACAUGGGCAUCAAGAGAUUAGGAAGAGUCUGAAUUGUUGGGAACUAAGGAGCCGUCUUUUGUGCUGCCUGAAGACUGUAGUGGGGACCUGGAGCAAAGCCUGGAAGGCUGUCGUUGGUCCGUAUUCAGAUUGCAAGAUUCGCAAGCAUACCAGAAUGAGGCAAUGACAAAGGAGUGCAUCAAUCUGAAUUUAGUGCUAGGGCUAUGCCUUUGUCAUUCAAGAUUUUUUUCAAAAGCACAAUAUAAAUCAAAACUUAAUCUGUUAAGCUACUAUCAGGCAGAUGAUAAGUAGCAUCUAUCUUUCGUCACCAUGGCAACACAGAUUCCUACAGAACUGGAAUCUGCGACAUCGGCUGGUCCAUCCAACGGUCAGGUUCAGGUGAAUUCCUUGAUGCCCAGCUCUAACGGACUAGAUACGCCUGGAACUUGUUCUCCAUCUACCACACCCAAGAAACAACGUCAUUGGGAUCUUUCUGUAAGUCAAAUGAGUGUCUUUCUGUAAGUCAAAUGAGUGUCUUUCUGUAAGUCAAAUU
rnacentral:sRNA from 1 species